rnacentral:rRNA from 1 species
CACGUAGGGUGCGAGCGUUGUCCGGAAUUAUUGGGCGUAAAGAGCUCGUAGGCGGUGUGUCGCGUCGGCCGUGAAAACUUGCAGCUUAACUGUGGGCGUGCGGUCGAUACGGGCAUCACUGGAGUUCGGCAGGGGAGACUGGAAUUCUGGUGUAGCGGUGAAAUGCGCAGAUAUCAGGAGGAACACCGGUGGCGAAGGCGGGUCUCUGGGCCGAUACUGACGCUGGAGGAGCGAAAGCGUGGGGAGCAACAGGA